CCCGGCCCUCUUCCCUGCUGCUGGGACUUUUCCUUUCAUAACGUGUCUCCUGUGAAGAGGCAGGCGCCAAGCCGCGGCCGGGAGCAUCCUGCCUCCCUGCUGGGCGGGCGCUGCCCGCUCUGUGAGGCGCGUGGGCGGGGACCUGCUCUCCCAGCGGGCGCAGACACCCCGCUGAGAGCCUCGUCGCCUACGUGUGUACAGCACAGACGUCACAAUGUGAGCGGACAGGUGCAUCGGACCACCCUGCCCCGUGAGCUGUAUUAACCUAGCCCUGAGGUGCACCGCAUAAGGUUACAUGAAGUGAACAUGCUGUGAGAUAAGAAUUGCUUCUCAGAAGGAGGAAAACCAACUUUUGGAUAAACCAACUGUGUGAAAUUAUCUAAUGAGAAUGAUUCCAAUGAGGGGACCUCCUCCACCACCACCCCAUCUCCCUCCUCCAUUAAGAACUUCCGUUUGCCUUUAUUACCCAUAAUAACCAUGGAGUCCCUGGCUGGAACUUGUCUUGUCCUCCCACACUGCCAACAUGAGUAAAACUUUUAUUGCCAUGCAUACCCCACUACUUCCGAACACCUCUGCUGAAAUCUUCCCCCAUGCCUUUGUUUCCUGUCACCUUGGCCGUUGCAGUUUCCUUUCUCUAGGACCCGCACUAGAUGCCAGCUGUCUAGAUUCCAGCAUGUGCACAAUGCUACCUCCAACCUUAUACAUAUAAAGAAGUGCAGCCACAUCAUGCACAUCCUAAAACACCAGCUCUUCCCUCCCUUCGUUCCAAUUCAAAAUUGUUCCCUUGUUCAUAAAACCUUUCACAGAUUUGCUUCAGCCUCUCUCAAGGGACUUGUUUCUCAGUACUUCUUGUCCCUGCCCCCUCAGCACUGGCCUCUGUCAUUCCACACACUGUUGCUACAGUUGGCCCGAGAGACCUUACCCUGCAUCUCCUGUUCUGAAACAGCUUUCAGUAUCCCUCCACGUAAAGCACUCUCCCUCUGAUGUCGAAUCUCACCUGAAAGUACAGCUUUUCUCUUGAUUUCUUCCCUUUAUUUCUGCCUCUUUUCUCCUAUCCGAUUCUAAAACUCUGUAAUUGUAUUAAGACUACCUCUCUGAAAAGCAUUUUUGAGAAGAAGUUUGUAUCAAAGCUGCUGUACAAAUAAAUAUGUUCUUUUUAUCUUUCAGAUACACACAGGAAAUAAAAUGGUAUAUUUUCCAAAUAACUAAUAACCUUGUUUCAAUUUUUUUUUAAAGUGA